CUCAACGCACCCGGGGGGAGGGUGACUCCACCGCCUCCCUGCGCAGCUCCUUCCAGCCCCGACCGCUCUCUCCGCGAAAAACUUUCCCCUGAUGUCCCACCGAAACCCGCCCAGCCUCGGCUUGAGGCUGCUCCCCCUUGUUCUGCCUGCAGUCACCUGUGAGCAGAGCCCGGCAGCAGCCUCUCCGCGGCGUCCCUUCGGGCAGCAGCGAGGUGUGCCCUCAGCCUCCUGGGCGGCAGCGAGGUGUGCCCUCAGCCUCCUGGGCAGCAGCCUCUCCACGGUGUCCCUGCGGGCAGCAGCGAGGUGUGCCCUCAGCCUCCCGUUUCACACUGACCGUCCCCAGCUCCCUCAGCCGCUCCUCCAGAGGCAGCUCACAGGUCCCUGCCCCCGCACUCACCGCGAGGCAAGGAGGGACUUGCCCUGCCCGGAGGGAGCAGAGCAGAGCAUAGCCCCUGGCAGGGCCUCAGCAGGUGCACUGAUGAGGGCAGAGCAGAGCAUAGCCCCUGGCAGGGCCUCAGCAGGUGCACUGAUGAGGCAGAGCAGAGCAUAGCCCCUGGCAGGGCCUCAGCAGGUGCACUGAUGAGAGCAGAGAGUUGUGGUCAAUGGGAUGGAGCCCAGUUGAAGGCUUGUGGCUGUUGGGGUCCCACAAGGGUCACUACUGGCACCACUUCGGUUCUAUACAUUCAUCAGUGACCUGGGUGAGGGCACAGAGGGCACUGCCAGCAAGCUUCCUGAUGGCACCAAACUGGGUGGAGAAGCUGCCACAGCAGAAGGCUGUGCUGCCAUCCAGCCAGACUUGGGCAGGCUGAGGGUUGGGCAGGGAGACACUGAA